rnacentral:lncRNA from 1 species
GUACCAGGUACCAAAUCAAUCGAGAACUCAACUUCACGCUCUGGCGGCAAUUCAUUCACUUCUUCCGGAAACACAUCAGGAAAAUCACACACCACAGCUAGAUCGCCAAUCACUAGUUUAUCUUUAGCCUCCAAAGUUGCUAACAGCAUAAACAACUCUGCCCCAUCUGUUACUGCCUCAUUCACCUGCCUCGCUGAUAGAAACAAA